rnacentral:rRNA from 1 species
AGUGAACGCUGGCGGUAGGCCUAACACAUGCAAGUCGAACGGCAGCACAGUAAUAGCUUGCUCUUACGGGUGGCGAGUGGCGGACGGGUGAGGAAUACAUCGGAAUCUACUUUUUCGUGGGGGAUAACGUAGGGAAACUUACGCUAAUACCGCAUACGACCUACGGGCGAAAGCAGGGGAUCUUCGGACCUUGCGCGAUUGAAUGAGCCGAUGUCGGAUUAGUUAGUUGGCGGGGUAAAGGCCCACCAAGGCGACGAUCCGUAGCUGGUCUGAGAGGAUGAUCAGCCACACUGUAACUGAGACACGGUCCAGACUCCUACGGGAGGCAGCAGUGGGGAAUAGUGGACAAUGGGCGCAAGCCUGAUCCAGCCAUACCGCGUGGGUGAAGAAGGCCUUCUGGUUGUAAAGCCCUUUUGUUGUGAAAGAAAAGCAGCAGGUUAAUACCCCGCUGUUCUGACGGUACCCAAAGAAUAAGCACCGGCUAACUUCGUG